CCUACGGGGGGCUGCAGUGGGGAAUUUUGGACAAUGGGGGAAACCCUGAUCCAGCCAUGCCGCGUGCGGGAAGAAGGCCUUCGGGUUGUAAACCGCUUUCAGCCGGAAAGAAAUCGCACGGACCAAUACUCUGUGUGGAUGACGGUACCGGAAGAAGAAGCACCGGCUAACUACGUGCCAGCAGCCGCGGUAAUACGUAGGGUGCGAGUGUUAAUCGGAAGUACGGGGCGGAAUUCGUGAGCAGGCGGUGAAAUCCCCGGGCUUAACCUGGGAACUGCGUUUGGAACUGGGAGACUAGAGUGUGUCAGAGGGAGGUGGAAUUCCGCGUGUAGCAGUGAAAUGCGUAGAUAUGCGGAGGAACACCGAUGGCGAAGGCAGCCUCCUGGGAUAACACUGACGCUCAUGCACGAAAGCGUGGGGAGCAAACAGGAUUAGAUACCCCAGUAGUC
rnacentral:rRNA from 1 species